GUGUGGAGACACUGAUCCACUGUAUUUCAACUUCUGAGGCUGAAGAAAUGACUGCAAAACUUGAGGAAUAUUAGAUUAAAAAUAUACCUAGACCUGGACAAGUGGAUUUUUAUCAAUGGAGGCCCCUAUAUGCUAGCAUUUUCAUGAGACGGUCGAUGCAUUCCGAGUGAAAGCAAAUGACAAACGGUGUAAGUGACUCUUUUGUUGGUGCUCUCCUAAUAAAGAUUGUUGACGACCAAUCCAUUUUUAGAGGUACUUGAGAGAUCCAAGACAGUCAUGUUGUCGUAAGAGUAGUGUAAAGGAAGCUUCUUGAGUUGCAACAAGUGUGUAUAUGUGUAUAUAAAAGGAUAAUGUUACGGAAUACUUUAUUUAAUCCAU
rnacentral:lncRNA from 1 species